AGAAGCUCUAAUUCCACUUGACAUAUAACCUAGAGAUAGUUUUAAAUGGAACAAAAAUCACCCUCAGCAUUUUCAACCGCUUAAUAUCAGCAUCACAAACUAUCACAGUGUCAUUUGCAUUUCGCAGGUGAGAUAUCUCCGGGCUUAUAUCAUUCCUAGUAGAGACAUUGAAGCCUUUUAUCCAGUUAGUUGAGUGUGUUUCUUCAACAUAUCAUUAAGAUCUUCUAUUGCA
rnacentral:misc_RNA from 1 species